rnacentral:rRNA from 1 species
UACGUAGGGUGCGAGCGUUUGUCCGGAAUUAUUGGGCGUAAAGAGCUCGUAGGCGGUUUGUUGCGUCUAUCGUGAAAACCUGCGGCUUAACUGUGGGCUUGCGGUGGAUACGGGCAGACUUGAGUUCGGUAGGGGGAGACUGGAAUUCCUGGUGUAGCGGUGAAAUGCGCAGAUAUCAGGAGGAACACCGGUGGCGAAGGCGGGUCUCUGGGCCGAUACUGACGCUGAGGAGCGAAAGCGUGGGGGAGCGAACAGG